rnacentral:rRNA from 1 species
UGGGGAAUAUUUCACAAUGGGGGAAACCCUGAUGCAGCGACGCCGCGUGAGCGAAGAAGGUUUUCGAAUCGUAAAGCUCUGUCCUAUGAGAAGAUAAUGACGGUAUCAUAGGAGGAAGCCCCGGCUAAAUACGUGCCAGCAGCCGCGGUAAUACGUAUGGGGCGAGCGUUGUCCGGAAUUAUUGGGCGUAAAGGGUACGUAGGUGGUUUUUUAAGUCAGGUGUCAAAGCGUGGAGCUUAACUCCAUUAAGCACUUGAAACUGAAAGACUUGAGUGAAGGAGAGGAAAGUGGAAUUCCUAGUGUAGCGGUGAAAUGCGUAGAUAUUAGGAGGAAUACCGGUGGCGAAGGCGACUUUCUGGACUUUUACUGACGCUCAGGUACGAAAGCGUGGGGAGCAAACAGG